GGACUUAAGAGUUCACCCGUUACUGUUUAACAUCGGCAUCAACCAGCAACAGAGUCUAGCCGAGAGGUUCGGAGACAGUUCUCUCCAAGAAAGGAUCAACCUCAGAAGCUGUGAGAUGUUGAAGUCCUACUACAAGACCCUGAGAGACAAACUACCCAACUUGACCCUGCCCUGUUCCC